rnacentral:rRNA from 1 species
UGGGGAAUUUUGGACAAUGGGCGAAAGCCUGAUCCAGCAAUGCCGCGUGUGUGAAGAAGGCCUUCGGGUUGUAAAGCACUUUUGUCCGGAAAGAAAUGGCUCUGGUUAAUACCUGGGGUCGAUGACGGUACCGGAAGAAUAAGGACCGGCUAACUACGUGCCAGCAGCCGCGGUAAUACGUAGGGUCCAAGCGUUAAUCGGAAUUACUGGGCGUAAAGCGUGCGCAGGCGGUUGGGCAAGACCGAUGUGAAAUCCCCGAGCUUAACUUGGGAAUUGCAUUGGUGACUGCACGGCUAGAGUGUGUCAGAGGGGGGUAGAAUUCCACGUGUAGCAGUGAAAUGCGUAGAGAUGUGGAGGAAUACCGAUGGAGAAGGCAGCCCCCUGGGAUAACACUGACGCUCAUGCACGAAAGCGUGGGGAGCAAACAGG